rnacentral:lncRNA from 1 species
UCCCUCCCUUACCACCUUUGCUCUUUGAACGUCUCAAUUUGCCAGUCCCCACUCCCACUUUGCCCCAUCUUGCUCCAAGGCUGGCAAACUUUGCUGGAGAAAACCACAAAAGUACUGAUGGAGCUGUCUGCCACUUGUGUCUGUCUUGGCCUGGACCUCAGUGGCAUUAGUCAUCUGUAUGAGAAAAUGUUUGCUGACCCCUGACCUAGAAGCUGUGAGGGCUGGUGGAGGAAAUCUUGUGAAGGGCAAGUAUCAUUUUGUAAAGCUCUGCCUCAGAGUGAAGAACAAUUCCUGGAGUGACCCUGACACCAGUGGGAAGCAAACAGGAAGAAGCAAAUCCCUUCUUCCUCCUCCAGCCUCCAGUGUCCCUCCAGCAUCCUCAGGGCCUCCUAGAGCCUAACAGGGAGCAGCUGCAGAGUGGAAAUAUGUGGUGUUCAGAGUCUUAGCUCCAACACCACAUAGUAGGGGUUACCAGGCUGAGCUGCAGUUGCUUAAUCAGCAGCACACGUCCCAGUUAUUCACAGGAGAAGAGAGUCUUCAUAACUGUGAUGCUAAAGCAUGCCAGGAGGAUAUUAUCACCCACUCACCACUAAGAACCAGCUCCUUGUUGCCACCUGAGCAGGAAAUGAUCCAAGACUGAGGAUCUGCUGCCUGGACCCCUUCUAAUACCAACUGUCUUAGUGUGGGUUCCCAGAAGCCAACCCUGAGGCAAGGAUUUGAGUGAAGUGGUUUAUUUGGGAGGUAGAGGGACAAAUAAAGCAUGUGUUGCCAGCCAGCUACCACCAUGGGUGACUGCAGGGAAGCUCUCACCUCCAGCACAGCAGCAAGUACCUCACAGGCUUUCGAGCUUGGUGAGGUAGUCCCAGGCAGAUCGCAGGGAGACAG